GUGGGGAAUCUUGCGCAAUGGGCGAAAGCCUGACGCAGCCAUGCCGCGUGGAUGAUGAAGGUCUUAGGAUUGUAAAAUCCUUUCACCGGUGAAGAUAAUGACUGUAGCCGGAGAAGAAGCCCCGGCUAACUUCGUGCCAGCAGCCGCGGUAAUACGAAGGGGGCUAGCGUUGCUCGGAAUUACUGGGCGUAAAGGGAGCGUAGGCGGACAUUUAAGUCAGGGGUGAAAUCCCGAGGCUCAACCUCGGAACUGCCUUUGAUACUGGGUGUCUGGAGUGUGAGAGAGGUGAGUGGAACUCCGAGUGUAGAGGUGAAAUUCGUAGAUAUUCGGAAGAACACCAGUGGCGAAGGCGACUCACUGGCUCAUUACUGACGCUGAGGCUCGAAAGCGUGGGGAGCAAACAGGAUUAGAAACCCCUGUAGUCC
rnacentral:rRNA from 1 species